UACGUAGGGUGCGAGCGUUGUCCGGAAUUAUUGGGCGUAAAGAGCUUGUAGGCGGUUUGUCGCGUCUGCCGUGAAAAUCCGGGGCUCAACCCCGGACUUGCGGUGGGUACGGGCAGACUAGAGUGUGGUAGGGGAGACUGGAAUUCCUGGUGUAGCGGUGAAAUGCGUAGAUAUCAGGAGGAACACCGGUGGCGAAGGCGGCUUUCUGGACAGUAACUGACGCUGAGGCGCGAAAGCCGGGGGAGCAAACAGG
rnacentral:rRNA from 1 species